UACGGGGGGGGCAAGCGUUGUUCGGAAUUACUGGGCGGAAAGGGCUCGUAGGCGGCCAACUAAGUCAGACGUGAAAUCCCUCGGCUUAACCGGGGAACUGCGUCUGAUACUGGAUGGCUUGAGUGUGGGAGAGGGAUGCGGAAUUCCAGGUGUAGCGGUGAAAUGCGUAGAUAUCUGGAGGAACACCGGUGGCGAAGGCGGCAUCCUGGACCAUUACUGACGCUGAGUGAGCGAAAGCCAGGGGAGCAAACGGG
rnacentral:rRNA from 1 species